rnacentral:rRNA from 1 species
UUGAACGCUGGCGGCAUGCCUUACACAUGCAAGUCGAACGGUAACAGGUCUUCGGAUGCUAACGAGUGGCGAACGGGUGAGUAAUACAUCGGAACGUGCCCGAUCGUGGGGGAUAACGCAGCGAAAGCUGUGCUAAUACCGCAUACGAUCUACGGAUGAAAGCAGGGGACCGCAAGACCUCUCGCUUUCGGAGUGGCCGAUAUCGGAUUAGCUAGUAGGUGCGGUAAAGGCUCACCUAGGCGACGAUCCGUAGCUGGUCUGAGAGGACGACCAGCCACACUGGAACUGAGACACGGUCCAGACUCCUACGGGAGGCAGCAGUGGGGAAUUUUGGACAUUGGGCGAAAGCCUGAUCCAGCCAUACCGCGUGAGUGAAGAAGGCCUUCGGGUUGUAAAGCUCUUUCAGCCGGAAAGAAAUUGCUUCUAUUAAUACUAGGAGUAGAUGACGGUACCGGAAGAAGAAGCACCGGCUAACUACGU